rnacentral:RNase_P_RNA from 1 species
GAAGUGAGUCGGACAAUCGCGCAGAGCAAUCUUCGAGGAAAGUCCGGGCACCAUAGAGCAGAAUGCCAGCUAACGGCUGGGCGGUGGAAGCCGACGGACAGUGCAGCAGAGAGUAGACCGCCGAUGGCGCUUAGGCGUACAGGUAAGGGUGAAAGGGUGCGGUAAGAGCGCACCGCGCAACUGGCAACAGUUUGUGGCAUGGUAAACCCCAUUCGGUGCAAGACCAAAUAGGAAAACAUGAGGAUCGGGCUUGUCCCGGUUCCGCUCUGUUGCUCGCAGGGGUUUUCGGGUAGGUCGCUUGAGGCUGGUAGUGAUGCCAGCCCUAGAUGAAUGGUUGUCGCUCGCAAGAGUACAGAACCCGGCUUAUAGACUCACUUCUUUU